GCAUGGGAGUCACUCCGGAUUUACGCCGGGAUCACUGAGAUCAGAAUCCAGCCUGGACCCCAUUGCAGCGGAGUCACUCCGGAUUUACGCCGGGAUCACUAAGAUCAGAAUCCAGCCUGGACCCCAUUGCAGCAGAAUCACUCUGGAUUUACACCGGGAUCACUGAGAUCAGAAGCCAGCCUGGACUCCAUUGCAGCAGAAUCACUCCGGAUUUACACCGGGAUCACUGAGAUCAGAAUCCAGCCUGGACUCCAUUGCAGCAGAAUCACUCUGGAUUUACGCCGGGAUCACUGAGAUCAGAAUCCAGCCUGGACCCCAUUGCAGCAGAAUCACUCCGGAUUUACACCGGGAUCACGGAGAUCAGAAGCCAGCGGAGUUCCACCCCCCCGUCAGAGACCCGGAAGUUUUGGGGUGGCGCCAGAUCCCCCCCGGAUUCCUGCCCUCCCGGAUCACGGUCAAGCCCAAACACGGUACCUUUCCCGGCCGCUCCGAUCUUCCGCCUGGCAGACGCCAAACACCAUGUAAUCCCCUGGAACUCAGGAAGGUGAAAAUCCCUCGGCAGGGCAGGAAAAGACCCCGGGUUUUCCUCCGCUGUGUAAAUCCAGCUUUGCGGGGGAGCCGGUUCCAGAGUUCCGAUCCGGAGCGAAACGCCCCGAUCCACCCGGCGGUUCCGAACGAUCCCGGAGCCCGGCUCUGCCCGGAGUCCUUCCGCGCCGGAGUCUCCCCAGCUGCUCCCCUGAGCUCAUCGGGAGUUUAUGCAAAUCCGCAGCCUGGUGCCUUCUCCCGGGGCCGGGAUUCGCUGGCAGAGGCUGGGCAAAAAGCCCAGAAAUCCCCCCCCCUUCCACACACACACCCCGCCUCCCUCAGCUCUGGAAUUAACAUCCCCCCCUCCCAGCUGCUGGCUGCGGGCUUCCCACGAGAGGGCCCCUUGGAGGGGGUGGCUGGGUCUAGGGCGCCUAGGGCAGCUCUGCGGGGGGGUCCCUGGAUUUCCACCAAGCACAGAAAGGAAGGGGGGGGCGGAAUUCCAGCUCCGUUGUCAGAGCGCUGUUUGCAAAAUCCCCACCUGCUGGCUUGGGGAAAAGCAGCAAAGGGGUUUCCUCUCCCUGCUCACCUGCCCAGGGCUAGGAUCAAGUGAGUUUCAAAUCCCCCCUCCAAUGCCAGGAUAAAGAGAGUUUCAAUUCCUCCCACCCCAUGCUAGGAUCAAGUGAGUUUGGGUCCCCCCUGCACCCCGAACCCCACUCCAUGCUGGGAUCAAGUGAAUUUCAAUUCCCCCCUCCCAUUCCAGAAUAAAAUGAGUUUCAAUCCCCCCCCA
rnacentral:lncRNA from 1 species